AUAAAGGUUUUCCUAGAAACCACCUCUUUUUUCUAGAAUUUUGCUGU
rfam:Rhodnius prolixus Rhodnius_prolixus-3.0.3-649.8, whole genome shotgun sequence.